rnacentral:rRNA from 1 species
UACGGGGGGAGCAAACGUUGUUCGGAAUUACUGGGCGUAAAGGGCGCGUAGGCGGUCCUGUAAGUGGUGUGUGAAAUCCGAUGGCUCAACCAUCGAGCUGCGCUCCAUACUGCAGGACUUGAGUACAGCAGAGGAAAGUGGAAUUCCCGGUGUAGCGGUGAAAUGCGUAGAUAUCUGGAGGAACACCGGUGGCGAAGGCGGCAUCCUGGACCGACACUGACACUGAGGAGCGAAAGCCAGGGGAGCAAACGGG